GCCCGGUUAGCUCAAUUGGUCAGAGCGUCAGACUUGUGAGUUGUCCUUCAAAAAUCUCAUUAAUAUGCAAAUGCUAAUAAUCACCCAGUUAUCCAAGAGUCCAUCUGAAUGUUGCGAGUUCGAGUCUCGCAUCGGGCG